rnacentral:rRNA from 1 species
AAAGUGAAGAGUUUGAUCCUGGCUCAGAUUGAACGCUGGCGGCAUGCUAAAAACAUGCAAGUCGAACGGUAGCCGGCCCAUCGGGGUGCUGACGAGUGGCGUGCGGG